rnacentral:rRNA from 1 species
CAGUAGCCGCGGUAAUACGUAGGGUGCGAGCGUUAAUCGGAAUUACUGGGCGUAAAGCGUGCGCAGGCGGUUCGUUAAGACAGAUGUGAAAUCCCCGGGCUUAAUCUGGGAACUGCAUUUGUGACUGGCGAGCUAGAGUAUGGCAGAGGGGGGUAGAAUUCCACGUGUAGCAGUGAAAUGCGUAGGGAUGUGGAGGAAUACCGAUGGCGAAGGUAGCCCCCUGGGCCAAUACUGACGCUCAUGCACGAAAGCGUGGGGAGCAAACAGGAUUAGAUACCCCUGUAGUCCUGUCUCUUAUACA